AAAAUCCAGACUAAUUUAUGGGCGUCUUUUAUAUAUUUUAAACGCAAAAAACCUGAAUAAAUCUCCGGAAUGGCUAAUUUGCUAUUCAGUUGCUUGGCCCGUGAAAUAAUUCCAAUUUUCCCGAUAGAAGAUUGAUGGAAGUUAGCGAUUCCGGUUGCAUUGACUCCUUAAGUAACCCGUAGUUACACCCUUAAUGGUUUUUAUGCAGAAAUUCAAGUUCCAAUCAAUCAAUAAAGGACAAGUUUCUCCUAAUUUCGGAAGGAAUUUUGGUUUUUUUGUGCUCUAAUAGCUUUUAAACGAUGGGGAUAUUAAGCUUCUGUAGGCUAAGUAAUUACAAGUGAGAAAUGGACGAGGUCUAUAGUAACUUGUUUCUUCCACUCUUAGUUAAUUUAUUACUGAGAGUUUUUUAUAUCAUUGCUCAUUUAACUCCAUACAAAAAAAUUCCCCAUGUACGCACAAAUUUACUCUUCUCUCUAGAGGAGUUCACUUCAGAUAAUCAAGUUGUGACAAUUAAUUUGCUUUGAAAAAUAAGAGUGUCUUCGCAAACGACUAACUGUUGAAAAUAUUUAAUUGAGCUAUUGAACAUGUGAUAUUAAAAAUGUAAUUCUGGAAAGGUUUUACCCCUUAAAUGACAGCAACUCUCCAAAUAAAAUUUUUUCGAAAAAGAUAGCAGUUUUUAUUCAGUUAUUUUUCUAAAUAGGAUUCGUCUAUUUGGAUCAACCUACCGUAUUUAUACGGAAUUUUUAAAUAACACUGUUUGUUGGGUAUCGCAGCUACUCAAAAACAUCAAUACUUUUAUAUUUUUAUCCCUUUUGGAACGACCUCAACCAGAUGCAGGCAAACCAACUAAACUGGUUCUCAUUGAGAAAUGAUGCUUGAAAAUCCAAUCAUUGUUGAAUAGAAGCAAUUGCAACAGUGACUGCAAGGUAUCCUGGCGGUAAAAUUAAGACUAGGGAGAUAUUUCUUCUUUACAUAUUGCUUAUUACACCACUGUGGCUGAAGUGGGAACAAUAAGAAGUUGAAGUAAACUAUCGGUUUAAUAUUCCCAGCUGCACAAACCGUUCGCGGACGGAUUUUGAAGCUGUGGUAAACAGACGCAUGGGAAAAAGACAAGCAGUAAAGUGAAUAUGAAACCGCCACGAAAGAUCCCAAGGGAACACAGCAAAGAAAGCUGUAGCUUUAGAUCUGAUAUUUAGUGAAAUAGUAAUAUUUCAAGACGGAUUUACACGUACGUGAAUAUGCUCACACCAGUAAGCUCGCAAUAGGACGUUUGGACUGUAGAGCAUUUUCAAAUGUCUGUUGCAAUUUUCUAUGAUCUUCAACUGGUCAGCUAACGUAUUGAUGAUAGCAACUUCAAAAAUAUCAGUUGUAAUUGAUUUAUCCUAAAGUUGAACAGAAUUUCAAACUCGUUUAGUCCUAUUCAGCGGCAGCAUUUUACAAACUUAUCUGGCUAUGUUAUAAAAUAUAAAAUAAAGCUUGAUCAAAACUCCUGGUUUUAAGUGACACAAAUUGAAAAACAUUCAGUUACGAAGCAAAUAGUUUGUUGAUGAUAUCCAACUACCUAAAAAGACCUUAUUUUAUGAAUUAAAACUGUCUACUACUUAACUGGCAUCCCCCGUCUCCAUUUUGGGGGGCAUUCCCCACAGGGAAUAGUAUAUAGGUAUAUUUUCUUCUAACCGUUAAUUUGUUAUUGUUCAGUUACUAGUCAAUAUUCCAGUCCGAACAAUCACGUGCCUCUAAGGUUAGAAAUUCUUGCGACUUUCUACAUACAUUUACCUUCAAUCAGGACAAAAAUAUCAAAUGAACCAAGCACAAUUUUUAAACAUAGAUGAUUUCCAAAUAUAUCUAAGAUAAAGAAAUAAUACGCCGACCCAAACUAUCCAUAUCUGAUUAUAUGAAAACUAUUAACUGUGUUAACAAUAAAACAAUAUAAUGAUAUAAGUGCAAGAGCAGUUCAUAUUCCUAGGAGACCUUAGACUCUAUUAACCGCAAAUUACGAAUUAACAUAUAUGGCUAAGGCAAAAGUUAUACAUAAUCACAAGUGCAAUAUAAUUUUUAGUACCAGUGGUUUUAUGUACAUUAAAUAUGUUUUUGUCGAUAAUUUCCAUCUAGAAUUAUCAUAAGUGCCAUUCUCAGUUUCGCAAGCGCGAUCUCAUUGAGGCGCCCGACAGGAAGACGCCAUCAACUCUCCCGUUCGGGAAUUCUGCUUUUCCAAUUCCAAAUCUUUUAGGUGAUGACAAUUUCAAGGAGCGUUUUAAUAUAAUUAUUGUUAAGUGCAAAGUGGAGUGUAUUUCUAUUCAAAAAAAUUGUUAAGACCAUCGCUACUUGCGGUCAAACAAUCUAAUUCUCAGCUGUAUCGCACGUACGUCUUCAUUGAAAUUCAGAACGUGCCUCCUAAAGGAUAGAGCGGUCACAGAUACCCCUAAACCAUCAAGAGAAAACCAAUGCCGAUGUCCAUUACGAGUUUGAAUGCCAACAUUGCAAUGCCUGUUUACAACAUACAUAUUAACUUGCUCGCAAUGUCACUCGUGAUGCUACCAGAAACGGCUGCUCUCAGGAGAUACAUGCCAGGUAUUAGUCCUGCAUGCUGAACCAGCUGCUGUUUGCUUUGUAUAGUAACGCUGUUUAACUCAAAAUAAUUCGAGAGUCAGCAGCAGGAUGAUAUGAAAAUUACAUUUACGCAUGUUCAUACAUUAUUGCUAUUACUGAAGCUUUAAUAUAUUGGCAUAUCGAUUUGA
rnacentral:lncRNA from 1 species